CCUACGGGCGGCAGCAGUGAGGAAUAUUGGUCAAUGGACGAGAGUCUGAACCAGCCAAGUAGCGUGAAGGAUGACUGCCCUAUGGGUUGUAAACUUCUUUUAUAUGGGAAUAAAACGUUCCACGUGUGGGAUUUUGUAUGUACCAUAUGAAUAAGGAUCGGCUAACUCCGUGCCAGCAGCCGCGGUAAUACGGAGGAUCCGAGCGUUAUCCGGAUUUAUUGGGUUUAAAGGGAGCGUAGGUGGAUUGUUAAGGCAGUUGUGAAAGUUUGCGGCUCAACCGUAAAAUUGCAGUUGAAACUGGCAGUCUUGAGUACAGUAGAGGUGGGUGGAAUGCGUGGUGUAGCGGUGAAAUGCUUAGAUAUCACGAAGAACUCCGAUUGCGAAGGCAGUUCACUGGACUGCAACUGACACUGAGGCUCGAAAGUGUGGGUAUCAAACAGGAUUAGAUACCCUUGUAGUC
rnacentral:rRNA from 1 species